rnacentral:rRNA from 1 species
UAUUGGCGUCAUCGGCGAAAUACGCCAGCAGUCGGAAUUUGGGCCCACUACAGCCAGAACUUGUUUAGGGCCAUAAUUUCUGGUUUUGACUUUUAUUUUUUGUCACUGGUCCUAGAUGGUGCCUAUAGGUGCCUAGUAACGACUCAAAGCGUCAAAAAACUUAUUGGGUCAAUCGGCGAAUUGAUAAGCGAAAACGCGGAAUGAGCCCGUUUGCGUGCAUCCUCUACUGGCUUGCUACUGGAAACGACGAGAAUUGAUUUUUUUUUUAAAGUUUAAUGUUUGGCCUUGGAUCGUGGCGCCGAAUAAAACUUUUUGUUUUAUUACGCUCCCGCCGGCCCAAUUCCACUACUGCCUUGCUACUGGGCGCGGCUCGGUUUGGCAAUAUUUUUUUGGAAAAAUCAAUGUUUGGUGAAAAUUUUGCCUACUGCCUUGCUACCGGGCGGCGACCGCGGGAAUAAAACUUUUUGUUUUAUUACGCUCCCGCCGGCCCAUUUGCACUACUGCCUUGCUACUGGGCGCGGCUCGGUUUGGAAUAAUUUUUCUCCAAAAAUCAAUGUUUGGUGAAAAUUUUGCCUACUGCCUUGCUACUUGGCGUCGAAUUGGAAUUGGUUUGGAAUUCACCAAGAUCGUAUUACUGGCUUGUACCCGGACGUUAGCUAUGAAUUGGUUUGGAAUUCACCAAGAUCGUAUUACUGGCUUGUACCCGGACGUUAGCUAUGUACUGCCUUGCUACUGGGCGCGGCUCAGUUUGGGAAUAUUUUUUUGAAAAAAUCAAUGUUUGGUGAAAAUUUUGCCUACUGCCUUGCUACUUGGCGUCGAAUUGGAAUUGAUUUGGAAUUCACCAAAAUCGUAUUACUGGCUUGUACCCGGACGUUAGCUAUGAAUUGGAUUGGAAUUCACCAAGAUCGUACUACUGCCUUGCUACUAGGCGUCGAAUUGGAAUAGAGCCAAAUUCACCAAAUCGUACUACUGGCUUGUACUUGAACGUGAAAAUGAAAUCUCGUCUAAAAUGUCACUACUGGCUUGUUACUGAAGCAGUAGCAAUGCAGUAGUGGUCAAAAUGACCGAUUUGGCCAGUUUUGCUAUCGUAAAUGGAUCUCGAUAGCAGCGCGCACUUUGAAAAAUGCAUUCUUGUACCCAAAUCUAUGCACAGGGCUGCAAUAGUGCCUGCUACGGCAGCUCAGUAGCAGUUUGGAGCCAAAUUCGUCGAUUCGUCGAGAAUGGUUAUAAAAGUGAGUUACAUAGUCCAUAGUGUCGGAUUUAGUGAGAAAACAGCAAAACACGGAUCGGGAAUCAAUCUAUGCCCGGAUCAAAGUGCUCGAUAUGGACUGCAGAUAGCAUGGCUAGUCGCCGCGGGAUCGACGCAUGCCAAUAUCUCCGCUUCUAGGCCUUCCCGCGCGACGCCACUUGGAGACAACACGUAUAACAUCAAUACAAAACAUAUCCUAGCUUCAUAGCGCGCGCGCCGACUCGGAAUACCCGCAAAUGUCGUACCAGCCUGUCUCAGGAUGGCGGCACAGGCCUCGGCGAGCUCGACAAACCUCCAUAUCUUCACUACCAGGUCGUCCCACGUGACGCCACUUCGGAGCACCUGUUAACAUCAUUACAAGCAUAUCCUAGCUCGGCUGCAUGGGCGCCGAUUCGGAAGACUCACAGACCCGUUUCGUUGAGUCAAUCCCGUAUGCAGCUCAGCAUGCUCGAUUGGUUGAACUGCACUUGUAGAGAUCGGAUUGACGCCGGGUCGCGCUUGAUUAUCGCGUAUGGCACUAGUACAAGCAUGUGUGCGUCGUCACAAUACGAAAUUGCCGCCUACAGGCCAAAUGCGACGCGAUUUAUCGGUCCCGGACAUCAAAAAAUCACUAAUCGACGAAUAAAAGCGUGUUCCGCCCCGAAUCUUCGCAAGGUCGUUACAUAUAUCGACGCAGCUCAUUACCAGCAACAUGAAGGUGGUCCCCGAUGAAAAACGAGAUAUUGUAUACCCCGGCUCUCGGCCCGCUCUGCAUCCUAGAAAGUACUCUCUUUUUGGUCUCGACAUCUUUUUGGUCUUCGGGCUACGGGCAAUUUUGACGCUAUUUUGACGUCAUGUAUUUACUGAAGUUUUUCAAGUCUUAUGAAGUUAGGGUCGCUCUCGUGCAGGUCGUCUUGCUCUAGGAAGUACUUUCACGGCGCAUCUUUUGGUCUUGACACCGAUCGCUCAAAUCGGACUCCUUCAGGCCAAAUGACAUAUAUAGGUUCUAAAGGUCCGAAACGGUAUUUGAACUCCUCCAAAAGUUAAUAAUUUUUCCAACUUCUGAUAGCAUUUGGAUUCCCCGUGAAAUCUGAGACUGCUGCAUGACGAUCUCGCAUCCACGAGCAACUUGG